GAUGAACGCUGGCGGCGUGCCUAAUACAUGCAAGUCGAGCGAACGGACGAGUAUCUUGCUUCUCUGAUGUUAGCGGCGGACGGGUGAGUAACACGUGUAUAACCUACCUAUAAUACUGGUAUAACUUCGGGAAACCGUAUCUAAUACCGGAUAAUAUUUUGAACCGCAUGGUUCAAUAGUUAAAGACGGUCUUUCUGUCUCUUCUAGAUGUAUCCGCGCUGCAUUAGCUAGUUGGUAAGGUAACGGCUUACCAAGGCAACGAUGCAUAGCCGACCUGAGAGGGUGAUCGGACACACUGGAACUGAGACACGGAACAGACACCUACGGGAGGCAGCAGUAGGGAAUGUUACGCAAUGGGCGAAAGGAUGACGGAGCAAAGGCGCGUGAGGGAAGAAGGUCUUCGGAUCGUAAAACACUGUUAUGAGGGAAGAAAAAAUGGGUAAGAAAAAGAGAACAGAAUGACGGUAACUAAAAAGAAAGCCACGGCUAACUACGUG
rnacentral:rRNA from 1 species